rnacentral:rRNA from 1 species
CCCUUAGAUGUCCUGGGCUGCACGCGCGCUACACUGAUGUGUUCAAUAAGCACCUAACCUACUCCGAAGGGACUGGGUAACCUUUGCAAAGCACAUCGUGAUGGGGAUAGAUUAUUGCAAUUAUUAGUCUUGAACGAGGAAUUCCUAGUAAGCACAAGUCAUCAGCUUGUGUUGAUUACGUCCCUGCCCUUUGUACACACCGCCCGUCGCUCCUACCGAUUGAAUGUUCCGGUGAGCUCUUCGGACUGCGCGGUCUGCAGUUUCUGCGUUCCGUGCGGAAAGUUGUGCAAACCUUAACAUUUAGAGGAAGGAGAAGUCGUAACA